GUAGCAAAAAUGUGGCUAAACCUUGUGUUCUUACUAGGAGUCCUCAAAGGAGUCCAAACUCAAGUACAGUUGGUGGAGUCUGGAGGGGAUGUGAGAAGACCUGGGGAGUCCAUCCAUCUCUCCUGCCAAGCCUCUGGCUUCACCUUCAGCAGCUACUGGAUGGGCUGGGUGAGACAGGCUCCAGGGAAAGGACUGGAAUGGGUUACAAGCAUAGCUACAACUUCCACUUACUACUCAGACAAGGUGAAGGGCCGCUUCACCAUCUCCAGGGACAAUGCCAAAAGCCAGCUGUAUCUGCAAAUGAAUAACCUUAAAGCUGAAGACACGCUGAUUGGUGUGGCAGAGCCUCAGCUGGUGUUUGGAAAGCUGGGCAUGCAUUAA